rnacentral:rRNA from 2 species
ACGGGAGGCAGCAGUGGGGAAUAUUGCACAAUGGAGGAAACUCUGAUGCAGCGACGCCGCGUGAGUGAUGAAGUAUUUCGGUAUGUAAAGCUCUAUCAGCAGGGAAGAUAGUGACGGUACCUGACUAAGAAGCUCCGGCUAAAUACGUGCCAGCAGCCGCGGUAAUACGUAUGGAGCAAGCGUUAUCCGGAUUUACUGGGUGUAAAGGGAGUGUAGGUGGUAUCACAAGUCAGAAGUGAAAGCCCGGGGCUCAACCCCGGGACUGCUUUUGAAACUGUGGAACUAGAGUGCAGGAGGGGUGAGUGGAAUUCCUAGUGUAGCGGUGAAAUGCGUAGAUAUUAGGAGGAACACCAGUGGCGAAGGCGGCUCACUGGACUGUAACUGACACUGAGGCUCGAAAGCGUGGGGAGCAAACAGGAUUAGAUACCCUGGUA